rnacentral:misc_RNA from 1 species
GGAGAAUGAACUUCAGGGUCAGCUUGCUGAUGAGGCGCUUCGGCGCCGAAACACCGUGUC